UACGGAAGGCAGCAGUAGGGAAUCUUCCGCAAUGGACGAAAGUCUGACGGAGCAACGCCGCGUGAACGAUGAAGGCUUUCGGGUCGUAAAGUUCUGUUGUUAGGGAAGAACAAGUACCGGAGUAACUGCCGGUACCUUGACGGUACCUAACCAGAAAGCCACGGCUAACUACGUGCCAGCAGCCGCGGUAAUACGUAGGUGGCAAGCGUUGUCCGGAAUUAUUGGGCGUAAAGCGCGCGCAGGUGGUUCUUUAAGUCUGAUGUGAAAGCCCACGGCUCAACCGUGGAGGGUCAUUGGAAACUGGGGAACUUGAGUGCAGAAGAGGAAAGUGGAAUUCCACGUGUAGCGGUGAAAUGCGUAGAGAUGUGGAGGAACACCAGUGGCGAAGGCGACUUUUCUGGUCUGUAACUGACACUGAGGCGCGAAAGCGUGGGGAGCGAACAGGGAUUAGAUACC
rnacentral:rRNA from 1 species